rnacentral:rRNA from 1 species
UACGUAGGGUGCGAGCGUUAAUCGGAAUUACUGGGCGUAAAGCGUACGCAGGCGGCUAGGUAAGACAGAUGUGAAAUCCCCGGGCCUAACCUGGGAACUGCAUUUGUGACUGCCUGGCUCGAGUCCGUCAGAGGGGGGUGGAAUUCCACGUGUAGCAGUGAAAUGCGUAGAUAUGUGGAGGAACACCGAUGGCGAAGGCAGCCCCCUGGGAUGAGACUGACGCUCAGGUACGAAAGCGUGGGGAGCAAACAGG